rnacentral:rRNA from 1 species
UACGUAGGGUGCGAGCGUUGUCCGGAAUUAUUGGGCGUAAAGAGCUCGUAGGCGGUCUGUCGCGUCGAUCGUGAAAACUUGGGGGCUUAACCCUGAGCUUGCGGUUGAUACGGGCAUGACUGGAGUUCGGCAGGGGAGACUGGAAUUCCUGGUGUAGCGGUGAAAUGCGCAGAUAUCAGGAGGAACGACCGAUGGCGAAGGCAGGUCACUGGGCCGCGAACUGACGCUGAGGAGCGAAAGCGUGGGGAGCGAACAGG